UACGUAGGUCGCAAGCGUUGUCCGGAUUUACUGGGCGUAAAGAGCGCGCAGGCGGCUGGUCAAGUCCGAUGUGAAAUCUCCCGGCUCAACUGGGAAACUGCAUCGGAAACUGAUCGGCUUGAAGAUGGGAGAGGGUAGUGGAAUUCCCGGUGUAGUGGUGAAAUGCGUAGAUAUCGGGAGGAACGCCCGUGGCGAAAGCGAGGUCCUGGACGCCUACUGACGCUGAGACGCGAAAGCCAGGGGAGCGAACGGG
rnacentral:rRNA from 1 species